rnacentral:rRNA from 1 species
UACGAAGGGAGCUAGCGUUGUUCGGAAUAACUGGGCGUAAAGGGAGCGUAGGUGGAUAGAUGCGUUAGAUGUGAAAGCCCCGGGCUCAACCUGGGAAUGGCAUUUAAUACGGUUUAUCUAGAGGACGAGAGGGGAAAGCGGAAUGGCGAGUGGAGCAGUGAAAUGCAUUGAGAUUCGCUAGAACACCAGAGGCGAAGGCGGCUUUCUGGCUCGUUACUGACACUAGGGCUCGAAAGCGUGGGGAGCAAACAGG